AUACGGAGGGAGCGAGCGUUAAUCGGAAUUACUGGGCGUAAAGCGCGCGUAGGCGGCUUUGUAAGUCGGUUGUGAAAGCCCUGGGCUCAACCUGGGAAUGGCAUUCGAUACUGCAGAGCUAGAGUAUGGUGGAGGGAAGUGGAAUUUCCGGUGUAGCGGUGAAAUGCGUAGAUAUCGGAAGGAACACCAGUGGCGAAGGCGACUUCCUGGGCCAAUACUGACGCUGAGGUGCGAAAGCGUGGGGAGCAAACAGGAUUAGAUACCCCAGUAGUCC
rnacentral:rRNA from 1 species